UACGUAGGGGGCAAGCGUUGUCCGGAUUUAUUGGGCGUAAAGAGCGUGUAGGCGGUUAGGUAGGUCCGUUGUGAAAACUCGAGGCUCAACCUCGAGACGCCGAUGGAAACCAUCUGACUAGAGUCCGGAAGAGGAGAGUGGAAUUCCUGGUGUAAGCGGUGAAAUGCGCAGAUAGUCAGGAAGAACCACCCGUGGCUAAGGCGGCUCUCUAGUACGUGACUGACGCUGAGACGCGAAAGCGUGGGGAGCGAACAGG
rnacentral:rRNA from 1 species